rnacentral:rRNA from 1 species
UACGUAGGGGGCAAGCGUUGUCCGGAUUCAUUGGGCGUAAAGAGCUCGUAGGCGGUUCAGUAAGUCGGGUGUGAAACCUCCAGGCUCAACCUGGAGACGCCACCCGAUACUGCUGUGACUAGAGUCCAGUAGGGGAGCGUGGAAUUCCUGGUGUAGCGGUGAAAUGCGCAGAUAUCAGGAGGAACACCCGUGGCGAAGGCGGCUCUCUGGGACGGUACUGACGCUGAGACGCGAAAGCGUGGGGAGCGAACAGG